rnacentral:rRNA from 1 species
AUAGCCGGUAGAAAUACCGGGUAAUACCGGAUAAGAGCGCCUCCUUAGAGGGAGGCGGAGAAGCGGCUUCGGCCGCGCCGGAGGAACGGCCCGCGUGCUAUUAGCUAGUUGGCGGGUAACGGCCCACCAAGGCGACGAUAGCUAUCCGGCCUGAGAGGGUGAACGGACACAUUGGGACUGAGAUACGGCCCAGACUCCUACGGGAGGCAGCAGCUAAGAAUAUUCCGCAAUGGGGGAAACCCUGACGGAGCGACGCCGCGUGGAUGAUGAAGGCCGGAAGGUUGUAAAGUCCUUUUGGGCGCAAAGAAUAAGUACGCGAGGAAAUGCGCGUGCGGUGACGGUAGCGCCUGAAUAAGCAACGGCUAAUUACGUG